CUGAUUUACCAAUCACAAGGAGCUCAAAUUCAAGAUCUGAAACAAGAGAACUCUGAAGACUCUAGCUAUGCCUUGAGCUCCAGUUCAUGGAGUCAGACUGUAACAGUUUCUCCUGAUACUUCAAGUUUCAGCAGCAAUAUGUUGAAUUUCACUGGCAAGAAGGCAGAGAAAAAACAUCAACUUUCAGAUCCACCAUCCGAGAGCAACAGCACAGUAAAUGGAGGAGCUUUGAAGAAGGCUAGGAUUCAAGGGUCCUCGUUAUCACAGCCAAGUACCUUAAAGGUUAGGAAGGAGAAGCUUGGUGAUAGAAUAACAGCCCUUCACCAAUUGGUUUCCCCAUUUGGAAAGG